AGAUUGUAGAGGUUGUUCUGUUCUGGACUUCAUCAUGUUGUCUCUGCGUGUGGCUGAACUGGUCCUCAUCACUCUGCUCACUGUUCUUCUCUUCAGAGCUCGAGGGAACCAGAGACCUCCUGAUGAUAUCACUGUGCGUUAUGAUGGAGAUGACGACACAGUGAACUAUGAGAACGCUGGAGAGCCUUCUGCUUCAGUCAGACUCCACUGAUCAACAUCUUCCACGCCUUCAAUUUACCAGACCAAUGAGUCCACUGCUCUUAAA